rnacentral:rRNA from 1 species
CCUACGGGAGGCAGCAGUAAGGAAUAUUGGACAAUGGGCGCAAGCCUGAUCCAGCCAUGCCGCGUGAAGGAUUAAGGUCCUCUGGAUUGUAAACUUCUUUUAUAGGGGACGAAAAAAGGGCAUUCUUGCUCACUUGACGGUACCCUAUGAAUAAGCACCGGCUAACUCCGUGCCAGCAGCCGCGGUAAUACGGAGGGUGCAAGCGUUAUCCGGAUUCACUGGGUUUAAAGGGUGCGUAGGCGGGCAGUUAAGUCAGUGGUGAAAUCUCCGAGCUCAACUCGGAAACUGCCAUUGAUACUAUCUGUCUUGAAUAUUGUGGAGGUAAGCGGAAUAUGUCAUGUAGCGGUGAAAUGCUUAGAUAUGACAUAGAACACCUAUUGCGAAGGCAGCUUACUACGCAUAUAUUGACGCUGAGGCACGAAAGCGUGGGGAUCAAACAGGAUUAGAUACCCUGGUAGUCCACGCCCUAAACGAUGGAUACUCGACAUACGACGAUACACUGUGUGUGUCUGAGCGAAAGCAUUAAGUAUCCCACCUGGGAAGUACGUCCGCAAGGAUGAAACUCAAAGGAAGUUAGACGGCUUGAGACCGNGCGAGGACGACACGAGGGAGGAGG